GAUGAACGCUGGCGGCGUGCCUAAUACAUGCAAGUCGAGCGAACGGACGAGAAGCUUGCUUCUCUGAUGUUAGCGGCGGACGGGUGAGUAACACGUGGAUAACCUACCUAUAAGACUGGGAUAACUUCGGGAAACCGUAGCUAAUACCGGAUAAUAUUUUGAACCGCAUGGUUCAAAAGUGAAAGACGGUCUUGCUGUCACUUAUAGAUGGAUCCGCGCUGCAUUAGCUAGUUGGUAAGGUAACGGCUUACCAAGGCAACGAUGCAUAGCCGACCUGAGAGGGUGAUCGGCCACACUGGAACUGAGACACGGUCCAGGCUCCUACGGGAGUCAGCAGUAGGGAAUCUUCCGCAAUGGGCGAAAGCCUGACGGAGCAACGCCGCGUGAGUGAUGAAGGUCUUCGGAUCGUAAAACUCUGUUAUUAGGGAAGAACAUAUGUGUAAGUAACUGUGCACAUCUUGACGGUACCUAAUCAGAAAGCCACGGCUAACUACGUG
rnacentral:rRNA from 1 species